rnacentral:rRNA from 1 species
AGUGAACGCUGGCGGUAGGCCUAACACAUGCAAGUCGAACGGCAGCACAGUAAGAGCUUGCUCUUACGGGUGGCGAGUGGCGGACGGGUGAGGAAUACAUCGGAAUCUACUUUUUCGUGGGGGAUAACGUAGGGAAACUUACGCUAAUACCGCAUACGACCUACGGGUGAAAGCAGGGGAUCUUCGGACCUUGCGCGAUUGAAUGAGCCGAUGUCGGAUUAGCUAGUUGGCGGGGUAAAGGCCCACCAAGGCGACGAUCCGUAGCUGGUCUGGGAGGAUGAUCAGCCACACUGGAACUGAGCCACGGUCCAGACUCCUACGGGAGGCAGCAGUGGGGAAUAUUGGACAAUGGGCGCAAGCCUGAUCCAGCCAUACCGCGUGGGUGAAGAAGGCCUUCGGGUUGUAAAGCCCUUUUGUUGGGAAAGAAAAGCAGCAGGUUAAUACCCCGCUGUUCUGACGGUACCCAAAGAAUAAGCACCGGCUAACUUCGUG